rnacentral:lncRNA from 1 species
GAACUUGUGUGGUACUACCUCAAGCGCAAGGUCUGUGGCAAGCUCUUCCGAUUCGACACAAUCUCCGAAAUCGACAUCUACAAGUCCGAGCCUUGGGACCUCCCAGGUUUGUCUCUCUUAUUCUGAUGAAUUUCUUGAUAUCACGUCUUUUCCCCUGUCUUUUAUCUUUCUGAAUCUUUAGCUUUUCUUCUAGGUCCGGCCGCCAGAGCUUUCUUCCUAAAUUGAUUUUGGUCUUUGAAUUCUGGUAUUUUUUUGGGUGGUGUUUUAGGUCAGUCCAAGCUGAAGAGUAGGGACCUGGAAUGGUAUUUCUUCAGUGUGCUGGACAAGAAGUAUGGGAACGGGUCGAGGACGAAUCGCGCCACGGACAGAGGGUACUGGAAGACCACGGGCAAGGACCGGGAGGUUCGUCACAGAGCCCGAACCGUUGGGAUGAAGAAAACCCUUGUGUAUCACAGUGGGCGAGCUCCUCGUGGGGAGCGGACUAAUUGGGUGAUGCAUGAGUACAGGCUUAUGGAUGAAGAAUUGAAGAAAACAGGCGUGGC